AACGAACGCUGGCGGCAGGCCUAACACAUGCAAGUCGAGCGCGCCCUUCGGGGUGAGCGGCGGACGGGUGAGUAACGCGUGGGAACGUGCCCUUUUCUACGGAAUAGCCUCGGGAAACUGAGAGUAAUACCGUAUACGCCCUUUGGGGGAAAGAUUUAUCGGAAAAGGAUCGGCCCGCGUUGGAUUAGGUAGUUGGUGGGGUAAUGGCCUACCAAGCCGACGAUCCAUAGCUGGUUUGAGAGGAUGAUCAGCCACACUGGGACUGAGACACGGCCCAGACUCCUACGGGAAGCAGCAGUGGGGAAUCUUAGACAAUGGGGGCAAACCUGAUCUAGCCAUGCCGCGUGAGUGAUGAAGGCCUUAGGGUUGUAAAGCUCUUUCAGCUGGGAAGAUAAUGACGGUACCAGCAGAAGAAGCCCCGGCUAACUCCGUG
rnacentral:rRNA from 1 species